AUUCAGGCCCGGUUUUACAAUGCAAGCUUAAGCGAGGUUCAAAGAUAAGCCUUGGUUCAACUGCAGUUGUCCGUUUUACAAUACAUGGUUCAAUGUUAAACCGCGCUCAAACGAAGGCUCAGCUGAGCGCUGAUGUCAGGGUGGUUUAAGCUUCGCUCAACUGUCCAUAACCUCAAAUGUCUGUGCUUUAUCGUUUUGGUGGUGUGACAGCAUUAUAAUUGAAGAUGGAAAAUUUAUUAGGAGUAUUAACUGACGAUGAAGACGUUUUAGAAAUGAUAAACAUAUUAGAACCGGCACGUAUGCGACGACCAAAAGUUUUUCAGUUGAGAGAAAAUCACUUUGAAAAGUGAAAUGCUGGGGAAUUUUUGAAACGAUUUCGUUUUUCCAAGACUGGCGUACGGUUUAUUUUGCAACAAAUACAGGAGCAAAUUACAUCGCGAACAGAAAGAAAUCAUGCAGUAUCACUGGAGCAAAUGCUACUUGUGACUUCACGUUUCCUUGCCACUGGAUCUUUUCUGCAAGUUGCUGGUGACUUUAUAGGGAUUAGUAAAGCAACAGCUUCUCAAAUAAUUAAUGUUUUGGGGUGUGGAAAAGACGCUUUCCAGCAUUGGCUUUUGGAAUUCGUUUAAAAAUGUGUAAAUUAGAGGCAGUGGUUGUGGCAACAGCAGUUUUACACAACAUUGCAAUUAUUUUAAAUGAAGAAGAACCGCCAGUGGACGCAGAAGAAGAAGCAGCAGUGAAUUUUGUGAACGAUGUUCUAAUUGAAAACAUUGGAGAAUAUAGUGGCAAUUAUAAUCAGAACAAUUUUGUACGGAACCAGUUCAUCAGAGAAUAUUUUACUCAUUUGCUUUUUUUGAUUUCGUUUUUAGUUGCAGUAAAUAAUAAAAUGUAAUGUAAUUAUUUAUUUAAGUUUUAUUAUUUAAAAUAUUAAAUUUUUGGGCAAUUAA